GGACAUCGCUGGAGACGAUCGAGAGCCAGGCCUGGACCGUGGGCCUGAGCGUGGAGCUCAGCCAGCAGACGGGCAGCUACCCCCGGCCGUCCCGGGAGCAGGCCUUCCUGUAUAAAGCUGUCGGGGUGUCCCUGGCAGCGUGUCGGCACGUCCCCUACGUCCACCGGGAAAUGAAGAAGUAUCUCUCAAGGACAAAUUACUUGGAAGCGUCUGAGAGAGAGGCAAUGAUUUCUGUUUUGGCCGGCUCUGCCGAGAGCCACUUCCACCUUGCCUUGAAGGUGGUGCAGGAGUUUGGGGCGUCCAUGGAGGAAAGACCAGUGUCUGGGGCUUUCAAACGCCUGAAGGAAUACCACCAGGGGAAGAGAGCGGGGAGGCACAUGGC